GUCGAACGAUACCUUCGGGUAUAGUGGCGCACGGGUGAGUAACACGUGGGAAUAUACCUUUCAGUGGGGGAUAACAUCGGGAAACUGAUGCUAAUACCGCAUACGCCCUUAGGGGGAAAGAUUUAUCGCUGAAAGAUUAGCCCGCGUCCGAUUAGCUAGUUGGUGAGGUAAUGGCUCACCAAGGCGACGAUCGGUAGCUGGUCUGAGAGGAUGACCAGCCACACUGGGACUGAGACACGGCCCAGACUCCUACGGGAGGCAGCAGUGGGGAAUAUUGGACAAUGGGCGCAAGCCUGAUCCAGCCAUGCCGCGUGAGUGAUGAAGGCCUUAGGGUUGUAAAGCUCUUUCGACGGGGACGAUGAUGACGGUACCCGUAGAAGAAGCCCCGGCUAACUUCGUGCCAGCAGCCGCGGUAAUACGAAGGGGGCUAGCGUUGUUCGGAAUUACUGGGCGUAAGGCGCACGCAGGCGGUUCGAUUAG
rnacentral:rRNA from 1 species